rnacentral:lncRNA from 1 species
GUUUCUGGCUCUGGAGUCUGGCCCCAGCUGUGCCACUGACUCAGUCGCUGUGAGUGAGAGCCUUGGGCAGGCCUCAGCCCUGUUUCCCUUCAGCGUUUGCACAUGGACAACGGGGAAGCCCCCUGCUCUGCCUGCCUCAGGAGCACGGGGACAAGUAAAGCUGACUCCUGGUUUCAAAGAGUCUGCCAUUAUCAGCAGGAGCAAGCACUUUCCAAGCAUCUCCAGGGGCAGGGACUUGGGCUAAGCCCUGGGAAUACGGAAGAACAUCAGACUGCCUCCAGACAUAGUCUCGUCCUCGGACUGGAAGGAAUACAGACAGGGAAGAAGGGAGACAAGGAGAAAGACCUUCUUUGGUGUACCGCUUUACAAUUUAUCAUGUGUUUUCACUUUUUCAGUUACUCUUUAAAAUUUGUUUACAGGGGAUGGGAUGGAAUCUCAGAGAAGCCAAGCACUUUGUCUGAGGUCACAAAGCCUAGGAAGACCAGGCCUCAGGGUAACCUGAUUUUAAAUUCAAGGUUCCUAUGCAGUUGUAAGAUACAGCACACAGAGAGAAGAAGUACCCUUUAUCCAAGUUUUCCCAAUGGUGGCAUCUUGCAAAACUAUAGCCCAUAGUCACAGCCAGGGUGUGGACAUCAGUAUGGCCAAGGUACAGAAUGUCUCCAUGCCCCCACAUAUCCCUCCUCCCUCCGGUUGCAUUUUUACAGCCACACCCACUUCCCUCCCACCUCACCCCUCCUCCUCUGCCCUGGCGGACGGCUAAUCUGUUCUCCAUUCUUCUAAUUCUGUCAUUUCAAGGUUAUCCGAGCAAAAUCAGACCAUGUAACCUUUGGCUUUUUUCGCUCACGCGAGUUUUCUGGGAGUUCAUCUGGGCUGUUGAAUGGGUCAAGACUUCAUUCCUUUUUGCUGCUGAGGGGUUUUCUGUGGUAUGGACAUAUGCUGAACCUGUGGGAGGACAUCUGGGCCCAUUCUGGCUUUUGGCUCUUAUGAAUAAAGCUGCUGCAAACAUUUGC